rnacentral:lncRNA from 1 species
UCAUCAUGAUCUCCACAUCAAGCUUCAUCUCUUUAUAGUCAUGUGGCCACCUUUCCAUGCCACCAUGCACCUUCAUCCAUGUGUUGCUAUGCCUAACUCACAUCACUUAAACACAAGGCAUUAGCAACUUGGUGUUAUUAAUUACCAAAACCAAACUUGGGCUUUCAAGGGUUGAGAAAGGUUGUGGCAAUGUGCCUCUAGAAAUAGAAGGGGAGACUGAGAGAAGACCUUAGGUGAAGCUGAGAAGACGUUUAUUUGUUG